GAUGAAGAACGUAACGAAAUGCGAUAAGUAAUGUGAAUUGCAGAAUUCAGUGAAUCAUCGAAUCUUUGAACGCACAUUGCGCCCUCUGGUAUUCCGGGGGGCAUGCCUGUUCGAGCGUCAUUAUAACCACUCAAGCUCUCGCUUGGUAUUGGGGUUCGCGGUUCCGCGGCCCCUAAAAUCAGUGGCGGUGCCUGUCGGCUCUACGCGUAGUAAUACUCCUCGCGAUUGAGUCCGGUAGGUCUACUUGCCAGCAACCCCCAAUUUUUACAGGUUGACCUCGGAUCAGGUAGGGAUACCCGCUGAACUUAAGCAUAUCAAUAAGCGGAGGA
rnacentral:misc_RNA from 1 species